UUAGGUUGCAUAACUAUUUGGUGGUUCACCACUGAUUUUGCUUUGAUUAUUGUGCACGUGUAACGGUGUCAUUCACUUGAAUGUUUCCAUGUGACUUUGCUGCUUGGUGUGAGGGCCAAUACACAACUCUUUGCAAUCUUCAUGAACUGUCGCGUCACUUGCACUUAGUUUCUACAAGUGUCUGUUUCUCCCCCAUCCAACUUUGUUCUGUCAGUCUGCAAUAGGGUGGAGUUUGAGUCACGUGACGACAUUGUGAGGUAAGAGCUCGAGCGCAGAAGAGAAGAGCGGAGUUGACAGAAAUUCAUUCAGCAUGUUGCUGUGUGCUUGGUCGCUGCUCGUCAUCACUGUGGCAGGCGCCAGCGGUGACCAGCUCGAGGCAGUCACGGGCGAAGUGUUGGCGUCAGAAGGCAAACAGGUGACACUGUCGUACGUUUACGCCACAGGGUCUUCUGGUACUGAUAUUUUCUUCUGGUACCAACAACUUCCUGGACAAGCGCCACACUUCCUGCUUUCCCACCUGGGAAGCGGCAGCCCGUUAAGCGCCAAGCCAGGAAUGUCGGCGAGCGUGGAAAGUGACAGGAGACGAGUGCACCUGCACAUCGAGGAUGUGACAAUUGAGCACUCUGCGAUGUACUACUGUGCCGUGAAGCCGCACAGUGACACAAGCGCCACAUUCUCGUUACAAGAACAUUUCCUCUUCCUCAGCUCAUCACAUCACACUCCCCUCUAGUAUCUUCCAAAAAAAAUCUCCAAAUCCAUCAAAGAAAAAACUUUAUUUACCUUGUUUCAAAUUAUUAUGCACAUUAGUGUUCCAAGACAUUUUAUAGGUUUUAAAGAACUGAAAAUAGUUGGACUCAAAUUUG